GGUAAGAAAUCGAACCUGUAAGAGAGAAAAUAAUGAGGUAGAAAAAAGGUUUGAAAAUUACAAAAAACAAUAGCACUGGAAGAACUGAAAUAUGAAAAGACCUUUAGAAGUAACCAAACAUGGAGCUCACUUGUGAUUUGUGAAGGAAUGCAGCAUAUAAUGAAAUACACCCAAUUAAAAAAAUACACCAUUUUUAGGAUGUGCAGGUAUAUGAAGAUCAGGAAACUUUGAUUAUUUUAAAUCAAGGUGAAUUCAAGAAGUACACCAAUAACCAAGUCAGUCACAUUGGAUAUUGCAGAAGACAUUGGACAGAUAAUAUGAAUGAUUAAUGAAAAAUGUUAUUAAAAACAUAAUUUUGCCUGAACAUUAUAAUGCUUUCAAUUAUCCCAAUCAAUUCAUGGAUAACUACAGUUAAGCUAUUUCCACAAUAUUGCAAAAAUUUCUCCAUGUAAGUAUGGUUAUUAUAACCAACUCUUGCAUUAUUGUAUUUCCACAACAUUGAAAAAAAUAAAAUGUCCCUGCGAACAGGCAGUAAUCCCAAAUUUUAAAGGCACAACUUGUCUCAAUCCUACCAACCAAAGGAAGCAAAACGAGAAUCAAUAUGCUAACCAGUCCAAUUCAAUUUUAAGGGUUAUAGUUAGAUAUGGAAACUUCAUAUCGAAGCGGCUAUACUAUGUAUUGCACAUUAUAUUACAUGGAAUAAUAGAAUAAUAAGAGAUUGAUAAAUAUACAAAUUUAGUUAUUAAAAUUUAAAAAAAAAUUACGGUUACAAUUUUUUAGAACCCACAAUACAUAUAUGUAUAUUCACCAUUGAUUUGACAUUUCAUGUAAGUUAACUUACAUGGAAUAAUUGAUGUAUUAUAUAAUUUUCCAUUAAUCAAAGCUGACAAGCGGACAAACUUCUUUAAGAUACCUAACAUUUACUUAGCAUAGGAAUUUUUUAUUUUUACUCGGUUUAUUGUAAGUUCAAGAUAUAAUAUGUAUAAUGAAAUUAAUAUGUAAAAUAAAUGAGUUCAUAAGUUUGUGUCAGGAUAUCAUCCGCCUCGCCUUGAACUAAUAGAAAAUUCCCACCUCAUUAAAGGUAAGGCAACAAUAGGUAAGAAUUUACGCCACCCAAUCCCAAGUUAACCACACCCCCUCAACUCUCAAAUCUUAUAUAUAUAUAUAUAAAAUUUAGACAAUAUAGGUUAUAGCGCCUCGCUUCAAAAAGGCCAUCGCCUCGCCUCUCGCUUAAGGCCAUAGGGUAGCCUAUCACCUUAGUGUCACCUUUCGCCUUAA
rnacentral:misc_RNA from 1 species